rnacentral:lncRNA from 1 species
GUUGCUGUGGGGAUUGUAGUUCGUCCCGUUUGGGCCUGCUGUGGGACUUUUCCCGUCAGCUCCCUGAUCCACCCCAGUGGGGACACGCUCAGGCGACACUCCUGUCCCGUGCUCCCGCCCUCUUGCCUUUCAUUCCAGCCGACAAGACCUUGGAAGGCCCUCUUUAGAAGACACAGCUGCACCAAAGAGCAAGUCACUUUGAAGUUACGAAUCUGAGUAAGGCCUUCCGCUU